CUACGGGUCGCUGCAGCCGAGGAAAUUUUACAAUGCUCGCAAGAGUGAUCGAGUAAGCCAGAGUGUUCUUCUAUGAAGAACUUUUAUCUGCUGUAAAAAUGCAGAUGAAUAAGGACUGGGCAAGACCGGUGCCAGCCGCCGCGGUAAUACCGGCGGUCCGAGUCGCAUCCACAUUUAUUGGGUCUAAAACAUCCGUAGCUUGCUUUGUAAGUCUCUUGUGAAAUCUCAUGUCUCAAACAUGAGGCGUGCAAGAGGUACUACAUUGCUAGAGACCGGAAGACGUAAGGAGUACGGUUAAGGUAACGGUAAAAUGUGUUAAUCUUAAUUGGACUAACAAUGGCGAAGGCAUCUUACGAGUACGGAUCUGACAGUGAGGGAUGAAGGCUAGGGGCGCAAAAGGGAUUAGAUACCCCGGUAGUC
rnacentral:rRNA from 1 species